GUCUACUGCCAUACCACCCUGAACGCACCCGUUCUUGUCUGAUCUCAGAAGUUAAGCAGGGUCGCGCCUGGUUAUACUUGGAUGUGAGAAUUACAAUUUCAAAGACAAGGCUAUGUUAAAGA
ensembl:rRNA 5S_rRNA 5S ribosomal RNA